rnacentral:rRNA from 1 species
GACGAACGCUGGCGGCGUGCCUAACACAUGCAAGUCGAGCGAUGAAACCCUUCGGGGUGGAUUAGCGGCGGACGGGUGAGUAACACGUGGGUAACCUGCCUCAAAGAGGGGGAUAGCCUCCCGAAAGGGAGAUUAAUACCGCAUAACAUUAUCUCUUCGCAUGAAGAGAUAAUCAAAGGAGUAAUCCGCUUUGAGAUGGACCCGCGGCGCAUUAGCUAGUUGGUGAGGUAAUGGCUCACCAAGGCAACGAUGCGUAGCCGACCUGAGAGGGUGAUCGGCCACAUUGGAACUGAGAUACGGUCCAGACUCCUACGGGAGGCAGCAGUGGGGAAUAUUGCGCAAUGGGGGAAACCCUGACGCAGCAACGCCGCGUGGGUGAAGAAGGCCUUCGGGUUGUAAAGCUCUGUCUUCUGGGACGAUAAUGACGGUACCAGAGGAGGAAGCCACGGCUAACUAC